GACGAACGCUGGCGGCGUGCUUAACACAUGCAAGUCGAACGGAAAGGCCCUGCUUUUGUGGGGUGCUCGAGUGGCGAACGGGUGAGUAACACGUGAGUAACCUGCCCUUGACUUUGGGAUAACUUCAGGAAACUGGGGCUAAUACCGGAUAGGAGCUCCUGCUGCAUGGUGGGGGUUGGAAAGUUUCGGCGGUUGGGGAUGGACUCGCGGCUUAUCAGCUUGUUGGUGGGGUAGUGGCUUACCAAGGCUUUGACGGGUAGCCGGCCUGAGAGGGUGACCGGCCACAUUGGGACUGAGAGACGGUCCAGACGCGUACGGGAGGCAGCAGUGGGAAAUAUUGCACAAUGGGCGGAAGCCUGAUGCAGCAACGCCGCGUGCGUGAAGACGGCCUUCGGGUUGUAAACCGCUUUCGCCUGUUACGAAGCGUGAGUGACGGUAAUGGGUAAAGAAGCACCGGCUAACUACGUG
rnacentral:rRNA from 1 species